rnacentral:rRNA from 1 species
GAUUAGAGUUUGAUCCUGGCUCAGAUUGAACGCUGGCGGCAUGCUUUACACAUGCAAGUCGAACGGCUGCACGAGUGCUUGCACUUGGUGGCGAGUGGCGAACGGGUGAGUAAUACAUCGGAACGUGUCCUAAAGUGGGGGAUAACGCAUCGAAAGAUGUGCUAAUACCGCAUAAUCUCUAAGGAGAAAAGUAGGGGAUCGAAAGACCUUAUGCUUUUGGAGCGGCCGAUGUCUGAUUAGCUAGUUGGUGGGGUAAUGGCCUACCAAGGCGACGAUCAGUAGCUGGUCUGAGAGGAUGGCCAGCCACACUGGGACUGAGACACGGCCCAGACUCCUACGGGAGGCAGCAGUGGGGAAUUUUGGACAAUGGGCGCAAGCCUGAUCCAGCAAUGCCGCGUGAGUGAAGAAGGCCUUCGGGUUGUAAAGCUCUUUCAGUUGAGAAGAAAAGAACGUGAAUAAUACGCGCGUUUUAUGACGGUAUCAACAGAAGAAGCACCGGCUAACUACGUGCCAGCAGCCGCGGUAAUAAU